UCUAGCUGCGAGAAUUAAUGUGAAUUGCAGAACACAUUGAACAUCGACACCUUGAACGCAAAUGGCGGCCUCGGGUCCAUCCCGAGGCCACGCCCGUCUGAGGGUCGGCU
rnacentral:rRNA from 2 species